ensembl:rRNA 5S_rRNA 5S ribosomal RNA
ACUUACGGCCAUACCAACCUGGCUAUGCCCGAUCUCGUCUGAUCUCGGAAGCUAAGCAGGUUUGGCCUGGUUAGUACUUGGAUGGGAGACCGCCUGGGAAUACCAGGUGCUGUAAGCU